rnacentral:sRNA from 1 species
AACAACAAUAAAAACAAACACUAAUAAUAAGAAUAAGACGUAACGGCUCUAGCAUAAUAAAAACAACAGCAUAAGAGACGCAGCUAACUGAUUACUUUGUAGAGGAUAACAAAAACAGCGGCACAGAUGAUUAGAGAACAAUAAAACUGCAACUCAUGCAGCGACCGUAUCAACUGAAUAUCGCAAUAAUAAAAUCAGCAUCCAAAGCAAUACGUUAACUUUUCAGCGGCUUAAUGUGAGCUGCAAAACAAAGAAGCAGGCAGAUAACAACAACAAAAAUGCCGACAAUAAUAAAAAAAACGCACAGAAUUAUUUAUGGGGAAGCGCAGGCUUCCCCAUAACAUUAUU